rnacentral:hammerhead_ribozyme from 1 species
AUCCAGGUGAAGAGUCCCAAAUGGGACGAGAGGCACGUCUUGGAU